rnacentral:rRNA from 1 species
GACGAACGCUGGCGGCGUGCUUCACACAUGCAAGUCGAACGAAGUGGCGAACGGGUGAGUAACGCGUAAUCAACCUGCCCUUCAGAGGGGGACAACAGUUGGCAACGACUGCUAAUACAGCAUACUGAAGGAGGGGAUUGCGUCUGAUUCGCUAGUUGGAGGGGUAACGGCCCACCAAGGCGAUGAUCAGUAGCCGGUCUGGGAGGGUGAACGGCCACAUUGGGAAUGAGACACGGCCCAGACUCCUACGGGAGGCAGCAGUGGGGAAUCUUCCGCAAUUGACGAAAGUCUGACGGAGCAACGCCGCGUGAGUGAUGACGGCCUUCGGGUUGUAAAGCUCUGUUAAUCGGGACGCGGUACCGGAAUAGAAAGCCACGGCUAACUACGUGCCAGCAGCCGCGGUAAUUC